rnacentral:rRNA from 1 species
UACGGAAGGCAGCAGUGGGGAAUAUUGCACAAUGGGCGCAAGCCUGAUGCAGCCAUGCCGCGUGUAUGAAGAAGGCCUUCGGGUUGUAAAGUACUUUCAGUCGUGAGGAAGGUGUUAAGGUUAAUAACCUUAGCAAUUGACGUUAGCGACAGAAGAAGCACCGGCUAACUCCGUGCCAGCAGCCGCGGUAAUACGGAGGGUGCGAGCGUUAAUCGGAAUUACUGGGCGUAAAGGGCACGCAGGCGGUUAAUUAAGUUGGAUGUGAAAUCCCCGGGCUUAACCUGGGAAUGGCAUUCAAGACUGGUUAGCUAGAGUCUUGUAGAGGGGGUUAGAAUUCCAUGUGUAGCGGUGAAAUGCGUAGAGAUGUGGAGGAAUACCGGUGGCGAAGGCGGCCCCUGGGACAAAGACUGACGCUCAUGUGCGAAAGCGUGGGGAGCAAACAGGGAUUAGAUACC